GAUGAACGCUAGCUACAGGCUUAACACAUGCAAGUCGCGGGGCAGCAUGGGGGUUGCUUGCAACUCCCGAUGGCGACCGGCGCACGGGUGAGUAACGCGUAUCCAACCUGCCCUUCACCACGGGAUAACCCGGCGAAAGUCGGACUAAUACCGUAUGUUGUCCAUUGACGGCAUCCGAUUUGGACGAAAGGCUUUGCGGUGAAGGAUGGGGAUGCGUCCGAUUAGCUAGACGGCGGGGUAACGGCCCACCGUGGCUACGAUCGGUAGGGGUUCUGAGAGGAAGGUCCCCCACACUGGAACUGAGACACGGUCCAGACUCCUACGGGAGGCAGCAGUGAGGAAUAUUGGUCAAUGGGCGUCAGCCUGAACCAGCCAAGUAGCGUGCAGGAUGACGGCCCUAUGGGUUGUAAACUGCUUUUAUGCGGGGAUAAAGUGGCCCACGUGUGGGCUUUUGCAGGUACCGCAUGAAUAAGGACCGGCUAAUUCCGUG
rnacentral:rRNA from 1 species